CUCUCUCUCUCUCUCUCUCUCUCUCUCUCUCUCUCUCUCUCUUUGCUUGAUUCCCUCCUUCUCCUCACCAUCUAGCCAUGAAAAUUUCAAGAACCGGUUAUCGUCUGAGUGACUCAUAUCAGGUGAGAUUUAUCUUUCUAUCUUCAUUUCUUUUGUCAUCUUCUUUGAAUCUAACUGAUUUGGGUCUUAGUUCAACUCAUCGGAUUUAGGCGUGUUUUGUUGGGAGGUUGUAUAAAUGAAUUCUGAAUUGAUUUAUUGAUUUAUUGAUGGAAUAGAACUCCAAAAUGACUACUAUCUUGAAUAGGUUUGAUGGGCAAAGCCUAAAUGAAUCAAUUUUUUUGGGUGAGCAUAUACAGAAUGGAAGAGAUGUUGCUGUUGUGACUUCUGCCUUUUUCUAGGGGAUGAGAACUUCGGACUUAUCAAGAUACCGACUCAGCCCAAUCCAAUUUCAAUCACUGAUAUUCCUCUCUCUUCUACAAACAGAUCGACCUCCAACCCCAAUUCUUCUUCUCCAUACCUCACCCAGAAGUUGAGAGGAAGAUGCUGUCAAAAAUUGAUAGGCAUUGGAGGUCGCCGGAGUCAGCCUCCGGCCGCCGCUGCCGACGGAGCUGGCGGCGGCGCCACCGUUGUUUGGGAGAUUUUAAUGGUUUUAAAUGUGGAAUAUUUAGGAGAGUUUAUUGUUAUGAAUUAUGGAAUUUUUAGAUGAGUUUUGGAUAGGUUUGUGAAUUUCCGAAGUUUGGUAAUUUUGGCGGAUUAAUAAGGUAGAAUCCGGCCGUUGGAUUAAAAUCAUAUAAUCUGUGGAAGGGUGUAGUUAAGGCUGCUGGUUUUAGUAUUGAGGUGUGGACCGUAUCGAAGUUAGACAAUGAUGAGCGUGAGUAUGGCUCUCGGUUAAUUUUGCCCAUUUUGUUUAAAUAUUGGAUUUUUAGUUGGGAAAUUAAUUAUUUAUAUUUGUGCCAGAGUUCGAGGAAACCUCAUUGGAGUGGCGAUUUAGAUUUCGUCGGGCUUAUGCCUAGAGUUGUGAGUGGACCUUCGUUUUAAUUGAAAAACAUGCGAUGAAUUAUUUUGUUGAUCAUUUAUUUCUUCUGAUGAGACUUAUUGAUUUUCUCGGUUAUUUGGCAAUUUUCCUCCUUUGGAGAGUUCCCGAAAAUGAGAUUUUCGGUGGAUAUGUUUAUUGGAUGUUAUGAGUAUAGUAUGUAUAUAAAUGCUAGCUAGCCAUAAGUGCUUGGUCCGUCAUAAUGAGGUAAAAUACCAUUAUGGCAUGACGUGAGUGUUAGACACAAGCGUCAUAGCCCUAUAUGAAAACUACAUUAUUUUCUGGUUUAUUUAGGUUUUCAUAUAGGGAGUCCACACAUAUAUAUACACCGUCCUCUUCGGUCAUGAUGAGGAAAAAUUCCAUUAUGGCGUGACAUGAGCGUUAGACGCAAGCGUCGUAGCCUUGUAUGAAUUUCUAUUUUUCUAAUUUGUUCAUAAAAUUCAUACAAGGAGUCUGACGAGUGUAAAUACAUACACAUAUAUGUUUAUAUAUAGUUUAGCCUAAGAGGCUCCAUUUUAUUUGAGUUGGUGACUAGCCGGAGCUAGUCGUGAAAUUACCAGUUUAUGAGUUGAGCGCUUUUGAGUGGUUGCAUGCAGUAUAAUUUCUUCUGAAAUUA
rnacentral:lncRNA from 1 species